CUGCCAGGUGCUGCUGCACAGGUGUCACUCAUCUGAGAGCAAUCAGCUGGGCUACUUAUGGAGUGGAAACCCAGAGGGAGACGUCAGCUCAUUUUUCUCAUUUGGCGUGGUAACAGAUAGACCUCUGCUUCUCUGCAGUCUUGCUUCCAAGCAGUUUUUCUGAUGUCCUUGUUUUUCUCCCCCUUCCUCACAGAUCACCCUUCGCUGAAGGAAGUCGAGGAACCUUUCUGGUCUCCGUUUUCACUUGUGUCAUGUUCAGAGGAGUUUGGGAACUCCAGCCUCGACACCUCAGCCCUGAGCCUCCUCUCUGCUUCCAACUCCAAGCCCAGCUUCUCAGGAGUCACCUGAGAACCACCCGUCAACCUGUCUGUCCACCCCCCAAAGUUUAAACUCUCCAACCAUAGAGGAGCUUCCUGGAAGAGAAGAAACAAAGCACUUCAUCCUCUGAAAACUGUUCACAGCCUUUCAGCCUCAAGCCACUGUGGAGAAGGACUUAUUUUCCCCUGGUCUUGCCAAGAACCCAACCCCUAGAGACCCGGCGUUUGUCCACCAGCUCCAGCCCUGGUUCCAGUCCGACCUUUAUCUGUGUUUUUAAAUAAACUGUUAAAAUGC